rnacentral:rRNA from 1 species
AACGCUAGCUACAGGCUUAACACAUGCAAGUCGAGGGUAACAAGAGAAAAGCUUGNUUUCUUGUUGACGACCGGCGCACGGUGAGUAACGCGUAUCCCAACCUGCCUAUAACUAGGGAAUAACCUUGCGAAAGUAAGACUAAUACCCUAUGAUUUUCCUUUGAUGACAUCAGAUUAGGAAUAAAGAUUUAUCGGUUAUAGAUGGGGAUGCGUCUGAUUAGCUUGUUGGCGGGGUAACGGCCCACCAAGGCAACGAUCAGUAGGGGUUCUGAGAGGAAGGUCCCCCACAUUGGAACUGAGACACGGUCCAAACUCCUACGGGAGGCAGCAGUGAGGAAUAUUGGUCAAUGGGCGGAAGCCUGAACCAGCCAAGUAGCGUGCAGGAUGACGGCCCUAUGGGUUGUAAACUGCUUUUAUACAGGAAUAAAGUUAGCCACGUGUGGUUAUUUGUAGGUACUGUAUGAAUAAGGACCGGCUAAUUCCGUGCCAGCAGCCGCGGUAAUACGGAAGGUCCAGGCGUUAUCCGGAUUUAUUGGGUUUAAAGGGAGCGUAGGCCGUCUGUUAAGCGUGUUGUGAAAUGUAGAUGCUCAACAUCUGAAUUGCAGCGCGAACUGGCAGACUUGAGUGUGCGCAACGUAGGCGGAAUUCGUGGUGUAGCGGUGAAAUGCUUAGAUAUCACGAAGAACUCCGAUUG